AUAAAAUAUAAAAAUGUUAUUGACAAUUUUAUUUGACUGCAUCACCUGAUUCGUCAUAUGGUUUCACCUUUGAUGGUGCUCUUUGUACCAUACUGCAUAUAUGUUGUCCAACACCCUGGACGAAAACUCAGCCGCUCUUUGGAUAGAAUUCGAUACCAGCGAACACACACGAGCGCCAACGACGGUGACCACCAACACCACUACGAAACAAAGAAAAGAGACUGAGGCGUUGAAAAAUAAAAUCUAGAAUACAACCGCAAAACUGCCAUUUGAUAGAAAUGAACCACCAGCACCGGAAAAUGACUAUAUGUGAGUAGAGAAGCUCCUUGCGAGAAGUUAAAGAAGAGAGAAAGAAUGGAUUUCUAACAGCGGCUGACUACGAAACGAUUUCUUACAUAAUUACAUGUAUUUCUUCGAAUCACCAGUGCAAUAAUUUUGGAUUUGAAUAAAUAUUUAUAAUAUUAUAUACUGGGAUAACUUAGAAGAAAAAUCAUGAUCUCAUAGAAUGAAUAAUUUUAAAAAAAUAAAUCCAAAUGAUAGAUCUAACACACACACACCUUAAUUAAGUAAAUAUCUUUUUCGUUUGGCAUUUCUAGAAUCAUUCUAAUCAAAUGGUUAAACAACAUAUUGUUUUAUACAUCUUUCAAAAACACAUAUUGUUUUAUAAAGUUUAGCAAUUAAAAUUAGCAAAAAAAAGUUAGCAAUUAAAUCUUUUUUUUGGUCAUCAGGUAGUUUUAGCAAUUAAAUCUAGAAAAGAUAAAUGAGGUGGUUUUUUGAAAAAGGGCAACCCCUUUUGCUUACGUCGACUUGUUGAAAUCCCAUUGAGUUCAAAUUGGAAAAAUGACCAAAGCAUUGACACUUUUUGGGGAGACUAACCAAUAAAGUACAAAAUUACUAUAACGCGUUUGUUUAAUAUUCGUGAUAACGAGGCGCUUAGAAUAAUUUUCAUGAAGAGGAUGAAGUUAAUUGUAGUUAUAGAUGAUUAGUUAGUAGCCUAGUAAUAAUAAAAUUUGUCAAAUUGGAGAAGAGGUACAGAAUUAUAAGUUUUCGUUUUCAAAUAGGAGGACUGCACGUGGCAGUGUGAAACCCUAAGAAAAUGAAGCUGCAAUAAUAUUAGGAGAACAUAAAAAGCUUUAGUUCUCUGUUCAGUAUGCCACGAGCGACCACUCUUUUAUUUUCUUUUGACUAUCUCACACACAUUAUAUCUCAUACAUAUAUUACAUGUCGCUUUCUCUAAAAAGAGAACCUCUUUCUCUCUCGUGCUUAUCUUGUAAGCUUUGCAUCACUAUUUUCUCUUAUUUUCCACAUUUAAAUAUGAAAACACAUAUACUUGAUACAUCUUUUCUAACAUUUUUUUUUAAAAAAGAACAUCAUUCUAACAUUUAAAGCUGAGUAUAUAUAUGGUAGCUGGUGAUGUGUUAACUUUUUAUUGUAUAUCUGUAAGGCUAUAACUCACAAAUAAUUCAUUUUAAAUAGGUUAUUAUGACACAAUAGUACUUUUAGAAAUGUUGAGGAAUUAGUUGAGAGAACGAAAGAAGAGUCAUUCCAACCUCGCUAAUGUGUGAAAACCGAACACAGUAGUUAUUUUUCGUAAAAUGCCGAACACAAUAGUUACAAGCUACUCACCAGUGCCCUAUACAAGUACGUACGCAAAUACAAUAUAUGAUAUAUGCACGUAUACGUACACACUGUUGGAACAUUAUGGAGUUACGUGCAAAGAUAAAACACUGCCAUUGUAAAAUACAAAAUCUCCUAUUAUAGUCAUCCAUUGUUAUCCACUCUUUCCAUUUAUACAUGCCGCCUUCUCGUACCUAAUUAUCAAGCAUCCCAUGCUUUCUCUUCUUUCUCUCUCUUCUCUCUUUAUCUCCCUAGGCCUGCCAUUAUCAGGAGGACCACAUGACUAUAAUGGAAGGACUCGCUGGCUUCUUCUAAGGUUGCUUUCAAUUUUUCUUUCUCAUAGCCCAUGAAGAAGACAUCAACAUAUAUCACAAUUUUAGUUUUUCUUUGUGAAUCAGUUUAACUUAUUUAUAGUGAAACUCAAAUUAAAGUUUCAAUCUUCGAUUAAUCUUUGAAACUUUUUUUUGGGCAAAGUGGGUAUUGGUUUUGCUUUUCCCCUGAGUGCUUUCAUUAUGUGUUAUAUUAGCUACCUUCUGUUCCCAAUUUUGUUGGUUACAAAUCUCAGUCACUCAUUAUCACUAUCAAAAGUACAAAUUCCAACUUUAUUUACAUAUCAUCUAUAUUUGUUGUUUUGGUUCUUGAAUUGAUAAUGAAUCAUUUUCUAUUUAUAGCAAAGAGAGUCAAUGCUCUUUUUGAUUAUCGUUCCUUUGCGCAGUUUCCUUUGAAAGAAAUAUGUUCUGGAAAUAAUGUGUGGUUGUCUCCACUUUUCUUCAUGGGAGAACUCAGUAUUGACUUCUUCCUUCCAUACUCUUAAACUUCUUUUUAUUUGUAGAGAUUUUCUUGCUUGCAAUGACAAAAAUGUAUAAAGUUCUAUAAGAAAGUUAAAUUAAACCGUCACUCUUGAAUCAAUACUCAUAGAACUUUGAGACACAAAAUAGUAAAACAUAUAAAUUAAAUGGAAAACUAUCCAAUUAAUUUAAAGGAACUAGCUAUAAAAAAUGGUUCCUGAAGAGUGUCUGAACUCACUAUGUGGUUCAGAAUAUUUUUGGUUUGUUAAACAAGUAUAAAUAUUAAAAUUGCAAAAGAAAAGAAGAGAUAAUAGUAUUUUAAUUACAGUCACCUCUUAAAUAUAGAUCACGAUUAUCUAAGUUGAUUAUGUCAUGUUAGUUUACAUAUGAAUAAAGAGAAACGAUAUUAUCUCAAGUAUUUGAGUUUUAAUGAGAAAAGAACAUAUUAUCGUGACAAACUUAAUGGGAGAGUAAGAAGUUGAUGUAGUGCUUCUUCGAGGUUUAGGGAUGACGAAAAGAUAGAUAUAUAGGCUUAUACAAUAUGUUCCUACUUUCACGCUUAAGUUCAGGGGAUUUGACAACACCAAAUUUUCAUAUUAUUGUUCUUUUUAGAAAUUAUACUCCCUAUGUUCCAUAAAGAUACAUUUUUUUAGUAUUUUCACACAUAUUAAUAAAACAUAUUAAACUAACAUAAUAAAUAUAUUGUUUUCUGUAAUUUUUAAUUUUCAAUAACUUUUAGCUAAUAGUAAUUCAAUAAAGUUAAUUAAUUUUCUUGAAGUUUACAAUUUUUCAUUGAAAAUACAUCUUUCUAAAACAGUUUUUUUUUCUAAAAAUUCAAUCAAGGAAUGGAGAGUAUAAAAUUUCAAUCUAAAGAUGCAUGCCAUAAUAAUCAGAUAUCGUAUGUGAUCAUUAAAAAUAUUCCUAAUAGUUAUUAGAAGCAUAUUUUUUUACUAUAAGUUUAAUGUGGUAAAUUGUGUGAGUAUAUACUUUUUAGAACAAAUUAUGUUUUGUUCAACAUUUUAACCACAGAAAAAUCUCGAGUUUAGUGUUUAUAUCAGUGAUGUAAUCUAAUUAGCCUUUCUCAUAUCCUGUAUAUGUUGAAUUACAUUAUUUGUAGAAUAUAGUAUAUGUAUAUUCUCAAACGAAUUCAUUUUA